rnacentral:rRNA from 1 species
UACGUAGGGGGCAAGCGUUGUCCGGAAUCAUUGGGCGUAAAGCGCGCGUAGGCGGCCCGGUAAGUCCGUUGUGAAAGUCAAAGGCUCAACCUUUGAACGCCGAUGGAUACUGCCGGGCUAGAGUCCGGAAGAGGCGAGUGGAAUUCCUGGUGUAGAGGUGAAAUUCGUAGAUAUUCGCAAGAACACCAGUGGCGAAGGCGGCUCACUGGCCCGAUACUGACGCUGAGGUGCGAAAGCGUGGGGAGCAAACAGG